rnacentral:tRNA from 1 species
GGCUCCCUAGUGUAGUGGUUAGCACGUCUGCUUUACACACAGAAGGAUCUGGAUUCACGCCCAGAGUGGAGCCA